rnacentral:rRNA from 1 species
UGGGGAAUCUUGGACAAUGGGGGCAACCCUGAUCCAGCCAUGCCGCGUGAGUGAUGAAGGCCUUAGGGUCGUAAAGCUCUUUCGCCUGUGAAGAUAAUGACGGUAGCAGGUAAAGAAACCCCGGCUAACUCCGUGCCAGCAGCCGCGGUAAUACGGAGGGGGUUAGCGUUGUUCGGAAUUACUGGGCGUAAAGCGCACGUAGGCGGACCAGAAAGUUGGGGGUGAAAUCCCGGGGGCUCAACCCCGGAACUGCCUCCAAAACUAUUGGUCUAGAGUUCGAGAGAGGUGAGUGGAAUUCCAAGUGUAGAGGUGAAAUUCGUAGAUAUUUGGAGGAACACCAGUGGCGAAGGCGGCUCACUGGCUCGAUACUGACGCUGAGGUGCGAAAGUGUGGGGAGCAAACAGGAUUAGAUACCCUGGGUAGUCCACGCCGUAAAACGAUGAGUGCUAGAUGUUGGGAUUUUACGGGAUUUCAGUGUCGCAGCUAA